GCAGAAGUAGCUCAGCGCAAGAGCGUCGGCCUUGUAAGUCGAAUGUCGGGGGAUCGAGUCCUCCCUCCUGCU
rnacentral:tRNA from 1 species